GGUAAAUAAACAGGGGAGCUGCCUGAGGGCUGGGAACAGGCUGAAAAUCCUCAGGGAGAGAUCUACUUCAUUGACCACAAAACACAACGAAUGUCCUGGCUCAACCCGCGUGUGGACGUUUGCCUCACCAGCCGCCCAAGCAGGGUUCCUGUUGCACAAGAGGUUGUCCUCUGAGACUGCCUGUGCGUGAGAAGAGUGUGGGCGCUUCUGCCUGCCUGGUCCCUGACCACUGUCCACACGCAUGCAUGUAUACACAAACUCUGUCCCCCUUACAUGUCACUUUGACAUGAACUCCCUAAGCUUUCUUAUCAAAUGUAAUGCACACUGACAGAUAUUAACUGGUGGACUGUGUGUUUGGGAGCGCUCUGUGU